AAGCCAGCCACCUGGCUCCUUCAGCUGCCAUCCUUCUGGUUUGGAGGCAAGAGGACGCAAUACCUGCCGCCUUGCCUUCAGCCCAGGGGUAGCCACCUGAGCCUUCUGUAGAGCCCUGCAGCUCAAGAGCACUUGGAGAGAUGAGAGUGGGACUCGGACUCCACUGAAGAGCGCGAGAGUAUGGGAAACUAGCGAGGCUGGUUUAUGAGGUCACUGUCCUUUCCGGAGGAAGCAUCCUGAGGGUCGUUCAUCCAACAGCUUAGUCCUGGGACCACCCUUCCCAGCGUAAGCGCUACCAGUGGAGCACGCCUACCUGCGGCCAGGGAAAGUGGAACAUUUCAGAUCUUCAAAGAUGCUGGGUUUGAGCUGUUCACUUGAAAAUCAAGUCUGCUGUAUCACAAGAGCUGGC